UACGUAGGGGGCAAGCGUUGUCCGGAUUUAUUGGGCGUAAAGAGCGUGUAGGCGGCUAGAUAGGUCCGUUGUGAAAAACUCGAGGCUCAACCUCGAGACGUCGAUGGAAACCAUCUGGCUAGAGUCCGGAAGAGGAGAGUGGAAUUCCUGGUGUAGCGGUGAAAUGCGCAGAUAUCAGGAAGAACACCCGUGGCGAAGGCGGCUUCCUGGACACCAACUGACGCUGAGACGCGAAAGCGUGGGGGAGCAAACAGG
rnacentral:rRNA from 1 species